GCUGGCCGGAUGGAACAGGAGGCAUGAAUGAGCCAUCUUUCCAAUGCCUUUCUGUCUUUUCUGGUCCAG
ensembl:miRNA